GUAGUUAUAGUUUAAUUAAAACAUUAGAUUGUGGCGCUAAUAAUAGAAGUCUCCAAUUUCUUACCUACC
rnacentral:tRNA from 1 species